CCCUGCCCCCCCCUCUCCCUCUCUCUCUCUUCCUCCUCCCCUUCGUGAUUCGAUUCGAGUGUUUCGGUUCGGUUCGGUUCGGUUGCUUGCCGUUCCUUUUCGCGAGCACCACUAGGCUUCCCGUGGGUCUUCGUCGCCCUCAAUUGCCUCUGAAUUGCGUGGAUUCCGAUUGCCCUCUCUUGUCUUCGUUCCCACGUUUCGGUUUCUUGCUGAAUGUGGGGGUCGGGAUGCUCCGAAACCAUGCCUUUUUUUCUUUUUUUUUUACCGAUUCUGUCUGUGGAUUUGCUCCGGAAUUGACAUCAUGAUGUUCCCUCAUUUGCUUGAAAGUUGUCGGAUUUGAUGCGAGUGUGCAGCUUUUGCUUGAUGAGCGUAUCGAGUUAUCUACCAAAAGACACGAAUGCAGAUGAAGACUUUCGAAUUUCUUUGCCAGUUGAAUCGCUGAUCUAGGCCUUUCCUGGAAGAGGAAUUCUUUUUUCUUUCCCUUUUUUUUGCCCCUUUAAAGUUAAAGACGAUCUCGAGUUUUCUCAGUUGAGUGGUUCCGUAAACUUGUUUCGCUGGCGGUCUGGAUUACUUCAGCAGUUAGCCCUGCUUACGAUCAUGACUUUAACCGUGCCUGCACUGUGUAUAAACGGAAUUUGGAGUUUCGCGGGCUGCAUCGUAGCAAUUCUCGUAAUGAUGAUUGGAUAAGCUAUAUUUGGCGGUUUUGCUGCAGUGGAUGUUAUAGCAAUUGCAACAGGAUAGAGCAUGUGUUAGACAAUAGAAAGAUAUCGCAUAGCUUAACAAUACCAUUGAGGUAUACAAUAUACAUCCAUUUAAA